GUCCUCAUCGCUUAACUGGAUAAAGCAGGGCCCUCCUAAGGCGUAGCUGGAAGUUCGAGUCUUCCUGGGGAUACCA
rnacentral:tRNA from 1 species